rnacentral:rRNA from 1 species
CCUACGGGAGGCAGCAGUGGGGAAUUUUCCGCAAUGGGCGAAAGCCUGACGGAGCAAUACCGCGUGAGGGAGGAAGGCUCUUGGGUUGUAAACCUCUUUUUCAGGGAAGAUAAUGACGGUACCUGAGGAAUAAGCAUCGGCUAACUCCGUGCCAGCAGCCGCGGUAAUACGGAGGAUGCAAGCGUUAUCCGGAAUGAUUGGGCGUAAAGCGUCCGCAGGUGGUUUUAAAAGUCUGUUGUUAAAGCGUGAGGCUUAACCUCAUAAGGGCAAUGGAAACUGUAAGACUAGAGUACGUUCGGGGCAAGGGGAAUUCCCAGUGUAGCGGUGAAAUGCGUAGAGAUUGGGAAGAACACCGGUGGCGAAAGCGCCUUGCUAGGCCGUAACUGACACUGAGGGACGAAAGCUAGGGGAGCGAAUGGGAUUAGAUACCCCAGUAGUCCUAGCCGUAAACGAUGGAUACUAGGCGUUGUCUGUAUCGUACCGGACCGACGUGCGUACGACGUACGUACGUAACGUACUACCGUCCGUCGGGUAGGUACGCGACGCAGUAGUGUAACGUACAAGAAGUAGUACGGCGUGAGACGUGCCGAACGGAACGACCGACCGAGGGGAGGUAGG